rnacentral:lncRNA from 1 species
CUGGAAGCAAUUCCCCCGACAUAUUUUCCGCAUGCAAAGUGACCUCAGUGUGACCCAUCUCGUAAAAAUCCGGUGAUCACAAUACGCAUGGAUGUCCUUAAAAUAAACUAUUAUCUGAAUUUACAUGUUAAACACGUGCUCAAUUUCCAUGCUUUUUUUGUUGAAUUUUUGUCGAUUGUUGACAAACAGGUGACUAUCGUUAAACUUCGGCUUCAAAACACGAACUUUAAUUACCUGCCAUAUUUUCA